rnacentral:rRNA from 1 species
ACGGAAGGCAGCAGCUAAGAAUAUUCCGCAAUGGACGAAAGUCUGACGGAGCGACGCCGCGUGGAUGAUGAAGGUCGAAAGAUUGUAAAAUCCUUUUAGGAGUGAAGAAUAAGAGGUGCAGGGAAUGGCAUCACGGUGACGGUAGCUCCUGAAUAAGCAACGGCUAAUUACGUGCCAGCAGCCGCGGUAACACGUAAGUUGCGAGCGUUGUUCGGAAUUAUUGGGCGUAAAGGGCAUGUAGGCGGUUAUGCAAGUCUGGUGUGAAAGGCAGGAGCUCAACUCCUGGACUGCGCCGGAAACUGCAGAACUAGAGUGACUGAGGAGCAAUCAGAAUUCCAGGUGUAGGGGUGAAAUCUGUAGAUAUCUGGAAGAAUACCAAUGGCGAAGGCAGGUUGCUAGCAGAUGACUGACGCUGAGGUGCGAAGGUGCGGGGAGCAAACAGGAUUAGAUACCCUGGUA